AAGUCAAUGCUGUUCUCUGGAAAAAAAGCACUGUGCCCUCCAUUGAUUUUGAAAGAGCACCCUCCUGAAGGCGCUGGGCUGACACCAGUGCCCACCUGCUCUGCUCAUCUUCAGCUUCAAAAGGCCACAGGGACAUGAGAAGUGUCUCCUUGAGCCUGGGCCCUGGGUGCUCCUAAUAAUCUCAUCACACCCCAUCCCCUGAAACACACACACACCCAUCUUCUCCCUGGGCUCUCAGAAUCAGUCUCUCCCUCACCUCACAAAGCACUCCCUCCCAACAUUCACAGCCCCCACAAAACUGCUGCAUACCAUUGUGUCAGGAGGAGCUAUUGUGCUGGAAUGAUGAGGAUAGGAAAAAAGAGGCUGAUGGCCCAAACAAUGUGGGCAAAGUGGGAACAAAGCAAAAAAGCACAGGAGAUAAGAUUUUUAAACUUCCCCAUUUCCAUCAUCAAACAUUCUAAAGAAAAAUGAGAAAGUGGACGGUCAAUACAUUGUUUCCAUAAAACACAACUUCAGGUAACAGAAACAAUUCUCAUUAUUAAUAAACAGCCAAGAAUCAAGUGUUUACCAUGAGCCAACACUGUUAGGGGCUUUGCACACAUUUGCUCAUUUAUGUCUCCCAUCAAUCCUAACAUCAGGUUCCAUCACUGCCACCGAGAUAAACCGAAACGCAGAGACUCCGUCAUUUGCUCAGGAUGCCAAAGCUACUAAGUGGCAGAUAAUCAGUGCAUAUUAAAGGAGAGAAUUCAAGCUACUUAGUCUAAGGUGAAACAUUCCAGAAUGAUCUAAUUAUCUUAAGAUUCUAAAAUGUGGUACUACCAAAAAAUCCACUCUUGGCUUCAAACCAGUUGGACUUAUACCCUUAGGGAAGCUGUUAGCUUUAUUAGUGAGGGAGCCCCAACUGUCCAAUGCAGUGGUACCGCACGUCCAUAAAAUGACUUUUGCAUUCUGUAAGCCUUGGGUCAACCACAUCUCUACUUGAUGGGGCUCGAUUAGCUUGCAAUUCCUGAAAGCAGUGAAACAAAUAGUGCACUUCCGGAAAGAAUCUCCUUAUUUAACAACUAACACUUUGGGAUAAAAGAAAGAAAAGAGUGGACGUUCUUUCCUGAGGCUGCCUUCAGGUUGUAGGCCCUGCAGGCCUCUUCCAGAAUGAAGCAGGUCACAAUGAAGGGCAGGUGACAAUGAAGAAGGGCAGGGAAGGUGACUGAGAUGGAAGAUACAGUCAAAAUGGUGUUCGAAAAUACAGAGGGAUCCAGCAUAAUUAAGAGCAUUAAGCAAUCAUCUCAGCCCAAGGAGGCAGUUGAAGAAAAGAACAGAGUUUGGGCAACACUUGGGGAAAUAAAUUCCACAGCCUUUCACCAAGUUGAAAUCUUGGCUUUGGACACACAUAAAAAUGAGCCUGGCCCAAUCUUAGCUCUCAGUGGACAUCUGCCAUAUCACAAGAUUUGACCCAAUUGGCCUGCCUUACCAUAGAGAAGGCCACUGCUGGAGCAGCAGAUGGUACUGCUGGUAAGAGCCAACGUGGACGGACAGGGCUGUGGCAGGGAAAUGGCAGAGCACAGCUGGCCCCAGCCUGGGUAGGAGGCUUUGCUUUGAAGAGAAUCAUUUUUGUGAUGCAUUUUUUUAAAAUAACAUCGAUCUGAUUUCCUUCUCUCGUAGACUUCAAUCACUUUUCAUGUCCUACAGAACAUUGCUAAUUAUUCUUUUAUUUUCUCUCUUGUCACCAGGUACUGUCAUACAGUAGUAAAACAAGUGCUAAACUCUA
rnacentral:lncRNA from 1 species